rnacentral:rRNA from 1 species
GACGAACGCUGGCGGCGUGCUUAACACAUGCAAGUCGAACGCUGAAGCCUAGCUUGCUGGGUGGAUGAGUGGCGAACGGGUGAGUAACACGUGAGUAACCUGCCCUCUUCUUUGGGAUAACGCCCGGAAACGGGUGCUAAUACUGGAUAUUCACUGAUCUUCGCAUGGGGGUUGGUGGAAAGGUUUUUUCUGGUGGGGGAUGGGCUCGCGGCCUAUCAGCUUGUUGGUGGGGUGAUGGCCUACCAAGGCUUUGACGGGUAGCCGGCCUGAGAGGGUGACCGGUCACAUUGGGACUGAGAUACGGCCCAGACUCCUACGGGAGGCAGCAGUGGGGAAUAUUGCACAAUGGGCGAAAGCCUGAUGCAGCGACGCCGCGUGAGGGAUGGAGGCCUUCGGGUUGUAAACCUCUUUCGCUCAUGGUCAAGCCGCAACGCUGGUUGUGGUGAGGGUAGUGGGUAAAGAAGCGCCGGCUAACUACGUGCCAGCAGCCGCGGUAAUACGUAGGGCGCGAGCGUUGUCCGGAAUUAUUGGGCGUAAAGGGCUUGUAGGCGGUUGGUCGCGUCUGCCGUGAAAUCCUCUGGCUUAACUGGGGGCGUGCGGUGGGUACGGGCUGACUUGAGUGCGGUAGGGGAGACUGGAACUCCUGGUGUAGCGGUGGAAUGCGCAUAUAUCAGGAAGAACACCGGUGGCGAAGGUGGGUCUCUGGGCCGUUACUGACGCUGAGGAGCGAAAGCGUGUGGAUCGAACAUGAUUAUAUACCCUGGUAUUCCGAGGUCGAAUUCCACAGUGGAUAUCUGGCGUGUUCUAUACCGUCGACGUCGAGGGGGAGGGCCCGGUACCCAGCUGUGUGUUCUCCUUUAUUGAGGGUUGAAUUAGGUGCUGUUGUGUGUGUGUGUUGUUGUUGUGUUGUUUAGUUGUUGUGCUAGUGUGUGUGUAUGUGGUGUGUUUUGUGUUGGUUGCUGGUGUGUUGAUUGUUGUUGUUGUGUGUGUGCUGGUGUGUGUGUGUGUGUGUUGUUGUUGUAGUUGUGUUGUGUGUUUGUUGUGUUGUUG